rnacentral:rRNA from 1 species
GACGAACGCUGGCGGCGUGCCUAAUACAUGCAAGUAGAACGCUGAAGGAGGAGCUUGCUUCUCUGGAUGAGUUGCGAACGGGUGAGUAACGCGUAGGUAACCUGCCUGGUAGCGGGGGAUAACUAUUGGAAACGAUAGCUAAUACCGCAUAAGAGUAGAUGUCGCAUGACAUUUGCUUAAAAGGUGCAAUUGCAUCACUACCAGAUGGACCUGCGUUGUAUUAGCUAGUUGGUGAGGCAACGGCUCACCAAGGCAACGAUACAUAGCCGACCUGAGAGGGGGAUCGGCCACACUGGGACUGAGACACGGCCCAGACUCCUACGGGAGGCAGCAGUAGGGAAUCUUCGGCAAUGGACGGAAGUCUGACCGAGCAACGCCGCGUGAGUGAAGAAGGUUUUCGGAUCGUAAAGCUCUGUUGUAAGAGAAGAACGAGUGUGAGAGUGGAAAGUUCACACUGUGACGGUAUCGUACCAGAAAGGGACGGCUAACUACGUG